GAUGAACGCUAGCGGCAGGCUUAAUACAUGCAAGUCGAGGGGUAGCAAGAUUGUAGCAAUACAAUUGUUGACGACCGGCAAACGGGUGCGGAACACGUACACAACCUUCCUACAAGUGGGGAAUAGCCCAGAGAAAUUUGGAUUAAUACCCCGUAACAUAGCGAUGUGGCAUCACAUUGCUAUUAUAGCUUCGGCGCUUGUUGAUGGGUGUGCGGCUGAUUAGGUAGUUGGCGGGGUAACGGCCCACCAAGUCUACGAUCAGUAGCUGAUGUGAGAGCAUGAUCAGCCACACGGGCACUGAGACACGGGCCCGACUCCUACGGGAGGCAGCAGUAAGGAAUAUUGGACAAUGGACGCAAGUCUGAUCCAGCCAUGCCGCGUGAAGGAUUAAGGUCCUCUGGAUUGUAAACUUCUUUUAUAAAGGACGAAAAAAGGUCUUUCUAGAUCGUCUAACGGUACCUUAUGAAUAAGCACCGGCUAACUCCGUGCCAGCCGCCGCCGUAAUAC
rnacentral:rRNA from 1 species